AAGUUUAUGACCAGUAACAUGAGUUUUAUAUUAAAAUGCAUGGUGUGUCUUCUCUUACUACAGAGUACAGUUGUGAAUUUGGCUCCGCGAAGUAUUAUGCACUGUGUGGCUUUGGUGGGGUCUUAAGUUGUGGUCUGACACACACUGCUGUGGUUCCCCUGGAUUUAGUGAAAUGCCGUAUGCAGGUGGACCCCCAAAAGUACAAGGGCAUAUUUAACGGAUUCUCAGUUACACUUAAAGAGGAUGGUGUUCGUGGUUUGGCUAAAGGAUGGGCUCCGACUUUCCUUGGCUACUCCAUGCAGGGACUCUGCAAGUUUGGCUUUUAUGAAGUCUUUAAAGUCUUGUAUAGCAACAUGCUUGGAGAGGUAUGUAAUUAACUUUAAAAUUGAACGUUCCGAGUGUUUAAAGACUUCCCGAGUGUUCUUAGAUUUUUGUCUGUCCUGCCUUAUUUUAGCACUGAAGAAAAUUGUCCUACAAAGUGAGCAACUUGUUUUAAAUCGUAAGCCUGUGUCAGCAGAGACAGGUUGAUAAAUAAAAUGUAUUUCAUUAAAUUACAAUUCUCCUUUUAAUAUACUAUCUUGUUUUCUAAGUAAGUUGGAUUUUGAGUUUUUUAGAGAAAGGCUCUGGGACUCCUUUGCGUAGUUCCAGGGCUAACUGUACAUGGCAUCUAGAUAUUUUUUGAACAUUCACGUUGUUCACAUAGUUACGUGUUUUGUUAAGGAGGUUAUGAGAGACCACAUAUAUAUUCCAUAUCAUCCUGUGUUACUUUAUAAAAUGUCUGAAGCUUAGUUGUUUUCUAGAACUGUCACUUCAAUUGAAAACCAAUACGACAGCAAUUCACGUCCCUUCCUUGUGUUUUGGAUUUUAGGAGAAUACUUAUCUCUGGCGCACAUCACUAUAUUUGGCUGCC
rnacentral:sRNA from 1 species